rnacentral:rRNA from 1 species
AUUGAACGCUGGCGGCAGGCCUAACACAUGCAAGUCGAACGGUAGCACAGAGAGCUUGCUCUCGGGUGACGAGUGGCGGACGGGUGAGUAACGUCUGGGAAACUGCCCGAUGGAGGGGGAUAACUACUGGAAACGGUAGCUAAUACCGCAUAACGUCGCACGACCAAAGUGGGGGACCUUCGGGCCUCACACCAUCGGAUGUGCCCAGAUGGGAUUAGCUAGUAGGUGGGGUAAUGGCUCACCUAGGCGACGAUCCCUAGCUGGUCUGAGAGGAUGACCAGCCACACUGGAACUGAGACACGGUCCAGACACCUACGGGUGGAAGCAGUCGAGAAUUUUUCACAAUGGGGCAACCCUGAUGGAGCGACGCCGCGUGGGGGAUGAAGGGCUUCGGCCUGUAAACCCCUGUCAUUUGCGAACAAACCUUCUGGUUGAACAGGCCAGGAGCUGAUUGUAGCGAAAGAGGAAGGGACGGCUAACUCUGUGCCAGCAGCCGCAGUAA